rnacentral:rRNA from 1 species
CCUACGGGAGGCAGCAGUGAGGAAUAUUGGUCAAUGGUCGCAAGCCUGAACCAGCCAAGUCGCGUGAGGGAUGACGGUCCUAUGUAUUGUAAACCUCUUUUGUCGGGGAGCAAGGCCCGGCACGUGUCGCCGGAAGGACGGUACCCUAAGAAAAAGCAUCGGCUAACCCCGGUCAGGCAGCCGCGUUAAUACGGAGGAUGCGGGCGUUAUCCGGAUUUAUGGGGUUUAAGGGGGGGGUAGGCGGAAGGUUAAGUCAGCGGUAAAAGGUCGGUGCUCAACACCGGCCUGCCGUUGAAACUGGUAGUCUUGAGUGGGCGAGAAGUAUGCGGAAUGCGUGGUGUAGCGGUGAAAUGCAUAGAUAUCACGCAGAACUCCGAUUGCGAAGGCAGCAUACCGGCGCUAAACUGACGCUGAGGCACGAAAGCGUGGGGAUCGAACAGGAUUAGAUACCCGUGUAGUC